AUAUCAAUCAGCGGUGGAAAAGAAACCAACUGGGAUACCCUCAGUAAUGGCGAGUGAAGGGGGUCCAGUCCAACCUCAAAGGAGCAAUCCGUUGUGGGGUAUGAGAGCUACGUAUGGGAAAGGAUUGAAAGAUCAAGUUGGUUGGAAAACCACGCCAAGGAGGGUGACAGUCCCGUAAUCUUUCUGAUCCCCAACCGCGUCCAACUCUCUUGAGUCGAGCUAUUUGGGAGUAUAGCUCUAAUUGGGUGGUAAUGGUCAUCCAAGGCUAAAUACAUGGCAAGAGACCGAUAGCGCACAAGUA
rnacentral:rRNA from 1 species